GAUGAACGCUGGCGGCGUGCCUAAUACAUGCAAGUCGAGCGAACAGACGAGGAGCUUGCUCCUCUGACGUUAGCGGCGGACGGGUGAGUAACACGUGGAUAACCUACCUAUAAGACUGGGAUAACUUCGGGAAACCGGAGCUAAUACCGGAUAAUAUAUUGAACCGCAUGGUUCAAUAGUGAAAGACGGUUUUGCUGUCACUUAUAGAUGGAUCCGCGCCGCAUUAGCUAGUUGGUAAGGUAACGGCUUACCAAGGCAACGAUGCGUAGCCGACCUGAGAGGGUGAUCGGCAACACUGGAACUGAGACACGGUCCAGACUCCUACGGGAGGCAGCAGUAGGGAAUCUUCCGCAAUGGGCGAAAGCCUGACGGAGCAACGCCGCGGGAGUGAUGAAGGUCUUCGGAUCGUAAAACUCUGUUAUUAGGGAAGAACAAAUGUGUAAGUAACUAUGCACGUCUUGACGGUACCGAAUCAGAAAGCCACGGCUAACUACGUG
rnacentral:rRNA from 1 species